GGGCUUCUGAGUAUAUUAAUAAUUGCAUAUAUUUUCUAGAAACUUGGUUAGGUUAGUUUGAAUUAAGUCAUCAAAGGAUACUUUUGGCAGAAACCAUUUGAGCUUCUUACAGAAUGUCCAAUAUUUAUGGUGUGAUUAACCAGAAGGUUGAAGGAUGAGAUUCAAUGAGCCUGGCUGGCCUUUGACCCUUCUUGAAAAAUGGUAUGUGAGAUCUCAAAUUGAACCCAAAUCCUUCAAGAUGAUAAAUGAAUCCUUUAUCAUGCAACCAGUACUAAAAAUUUUUGAACACGGGAAGAUGCUUAAACAUUCCUUCCAUCGUUGUUUUUUACAUUGUGCUUUUUUUAGUUUUACUCAUAUAAAGUUCUAGUAGGCAUAAACUACAUAAUUUUCUUGUUUUAAAAAAUAAACAAUAUUUAUUCA
rnacentral:lncRNA from 1 species